UACGAAGGGGGCUAGCGUUGCUCGGAAUCACUGGGCGUAAAGCGCACGUAGGCGGAUUGUUAAGUCAGGGGUGAAAUCCUGGAGCUCAACUCCAGAACUGCCUUUGAUACUGAAGAUCUUGAGUUCGGGAGAGGUGAGUGGAACUGCGAGUGUAGAGGUGAAAUUCGUAGAUAUUCGCAAGAACACCAGUGGCGAAGGCGGCUCACUGGCCCGAAACUGACGCUGAGGCACGAAAGCGUGGGGAGCAAACAGG
rnacentral:rRNA from 1 species